CCGGCUCAGAAUCAACGCUGGCGGCGCGCCUAACACAUGCAAGUCGAACGAGAAAGUGGAGCAAUCCAUGAGUACAGUGGCGUACGGGUGAGUAACACGUGGGUGAUCUACCUCUUAGUGAGGAAUAACCCUGGGAAACCGGGGCUAAUACCGCAUAAGCCUGAGAAGGGAAAGCAGCAAUGCGCUGAGAGAGGAGCCCGCGGCCGAUUAGCUAGUUGGUGAGGUAAGAGCCCACCAAGGCAGAGAUCGGUAGCCGGCCUGAGAGGGCACACGGCCACACUGGCACUGAAACACGGGCCAGACUCCUACGGGAGGCAGCAGUGGGGAAUCUUGCACAAUGGGGGAAACCCUGAUGCAGCGACGCCGCGUGAGCGAUGAAGCCCUUCGGGGUGUAAAGCUCUUUCGUCAGGGAAGAUUAUGACGGUACCUGGAGAAGCAGCUGCGGCUAACUACGUGCCAGCAGCCGCGGUAAUACGUAGGCAGCAAGCGUUGUUCGGAGUUACUGGGCGUAAAGGGUGUGUAGGCGGUUCUUUAAGUUUGGUGUGAAAUCUCCCGGCUCAACCGGGAGGGUGCGCCGAAUACUGAGGGACUAGAGUGUGGGAGAGGAAAGUGGAAUUCCUGGUGUAGCGGUGAAAUGCGUAGAUAUCAGGAGGAACACCGGUGGUGUAGACGGCUUUCUGGACCAUAACUGACGCUGAGACACGAAAGCGUGGGUAGCAAACAGGAUUAGAUACCCUGGUAGUCCACGCCCUAAACGAUGCAUAUUUGGUGUGGGUCAUUCAGUUGAUCCGUGCCGGAGCUAACGCGUUAAAUAUGCCGCCUGGGGAGUACAGUCGCAAGGCUGAAACUCAAAGGAAUUGACGGGGGCCCGCACAA
rnacentral:rRNA from 1 species